rnacentral:rRNA from 1 species
UACAGAGGUCCCAAGCGUUGUUCGGAUUCACUGGGCGUAAAGGGUGCGUAGGCGGUCGGGUAAGUCUGAUGUGAAAUCUCACAGCUUAACUGUGAAACUGCAUUGGAUACUAUCCGGCUCGAGGAAUGGAGGGGAGACUGGAAUACUUGGUGUAGCAGUGAAAUGCGUAGAUAUCAAGUGGAACACCAGUGGCGAAGGCGAGUCUCUGGACAUUUCCUGACGCUGAGGCAUGAAAGCCAGGGGAGCAAACGGG